rnacentral:sRNA from 1 species
GCCGGGCACGGUGGCGUGUGCCUGUAAUCCCAGCUACUCGGGAGGCUGAGGCAGAAGAAUCACUUGAACCCGGGAGGCAGGUGUUGCAGUGAACCGAGAUUGCACCACUGCACUCUAGCCUGGGUGAGAGAGCAAGAUUCUGUCUCAA